AUUGAACGCUGGCGGCAGGCUUAACACAUGCAAGUCGAGCGGAGAUGAGGUGCUUGCACCUUAUCUUAGCGGCGGACGGGUGAGUAAUGCUUAGGAAUCUGCCUAUUAGUGGGGGACAACAUUCCGAAAGGAAUGCUAAUACCGCAUACGUCCUACGGGAGAAAGCAGGGGAUCUUCGGACCUUGCGCUAAUAGAUGAGCCUAAGUCGGAUUAGCUAGUUGGAGGGGUAAAGGCCUACCAAGGCGACGAUCUGUAGCGGGUCUGAGAGGAUGAUCCGCCACACUGGGACUGAGACACGGCCCAGACUCCUACGGGAGGCAGCAGUGGGGAAUAUUGGACAAUGGGGGAAACCCUGAUCCAGCCAUGCCGCGUGUGUGAAGAAGGCCUUAUGGUUGUAAAGCACUUUAAGCGAGGAGGAGGCUACUGAGACUAAUACUCUUGGAUAGUGGACGUUACUCGCAGAAUAAGCACCGGCUAACUCUGUGCCAGCAGCCGCAGUAACAC
rnacentral:rRNA from 1 species